rnacentral:rRNA from 1 species
GCUUAACACAUGCAAGUCGAGGGGCAGCAUGGUCUUAGCUUGCUAAGGCCGAUGGCGACCGGCGCACGGGUGAGUAACACGUAUCCAACCUGCCGUCUACUCUUGGACAGCCUUCUGAAAGGAAGAUUAAUACAAGAUGGCAUCAUGAGUCCGCAUGUUCACAUGAUUAAAGGUAUUCCGGUAGACGAUGGGGAUGCGUUCCAUUAGAUAGUAGGCGGGGUAACGGCCCACCUAGUCUUCGAUGGAUAGGGGUUCUGAGAGGAAGGUCCCCCACAUUGGAACUGAGACACGGUCCAAACUCCUACGGGAGGCAGCAGUGAGGAAUAUUGGUCAAUGGGCGAGAGCCUGAACCAGCCAAGUAGCGUGAAGGAUGACUGCCUUAUGGGUUGUAAACUUCUUUUAUAAAGGAAUAAAGUCGGGUAUGGAUACCCGUUUGCAUGUACUUUAUGAAUAAGGAUCGGCUAACUCCGUGCCAGCAGCCGCGGUAAUACGGAGGAUUCGAGCGUUAUCCGGAUUUAUUGGGUUUAAAGGGAGCGUAGAUGGAUGUUUAAGUCAGUUGUGAAAGUUUGCGGCUCAACCGUAAAAUUGCAGUUGAUACUGGAUAUCUUGAGUGCAGUUGAGGCAGGCGGAAUUCGUGGUGUAGCGGUGAAAUGCUUAGAUAUCACGAAGAACUCCGAUUGCGAAGGCAGCCUGCUAAGCUGCAACUGACAUUGAGGCUCGAAAGUGUGGGUAUCAAACAGGAUUAGAUACCCUGGUAGUCCACACGGUAAACGAUGAAUACUCGCUGUUUGCGAUAUACGGCAAGCGGCCAAGCGAAAGCGUUAAGUAUUCCACCUGGGGAGUACGCCGGCAACGGUGAAACUCAAAGGAAUUGACGGGGGCCCGCACAAGCGGAGGAACAUGUGGUUUAAUUCGAUGAUACGCGAGGAACCUUACCCGGGCUUAAAUUGCAGAUGAAUUACGGUGAAAGCCGUAAGCCGCAAGGCAUCUGUGAAGGUGCUGCAUGGUUGUCGUCAGCUCGUGCCGUGAGGUGUCGGCUUAAGUGCCAUAACGAGCGCAACCCUUGUUGUCAGUUACUAACAGGUUCUGCUGAGGACUCUGACAAGACUGCCAUCGUAAGAUGUGAGGAAGGUGGGGAUGACGUCAAAUCAGCACGGCCCUUACGUCCGGGGCUACACACGUGUUACAAUGGGGGGUACAGAGGGCCGCUACCACGCGAGUGGAUGCCAAUCCCAAAAACCUCUCUCAGUUCGGACUGGAGUCUGCAACCCGACUCCACGAAGCUGGAUUCGCUAGUAAUCGCGCAUCAGCCACGGCGCGGUGAAUACGUUCCCGGGCCUUGUACACACCGCCCGUCAAGCCAUGGGAGCCGGGGGUACCUGAAGUGCGUAACCGCGAGGAGCGCCCUAGGGUAAAACUGGUGACUGGGGCUAAAU